rnacentral:tRNA from 1 species
CCCACGAUAGCUCAGCCUNNUAUCAGGCAUACAGAAACCGGGUUGUCGAAGGUUCAAUUCCUUCUCGUGGGA